rnacentral:rRNA from 1 species
GACGAACGCUGGCGGCGUGCUUAACACAUGCAAGUCGAAGCGGUAACGGCCCUUUCGGGGGGUACACGAGCGGCGAACGGGUGAGUAACACGUGGGUGACCUGCCCUCAGCUCGUGGGAUAAGCCUGGGAAACCGGGUCUAAUACUGGAUAUGACUCCAUGACGCAUGUUGUGGGGUAGGAAAGCCUUGUGCGGCUGAGGAUGGGCCCGCGGCCUAUCAGCUUGUU